ACAUUCAUUACACUUUCAUUUCGCUUCGAAGUUAAAUUGAAAAGUUUCUUUCUUCGUUUAAUUAAAUUUGUUGACAACUAUAGUGGAACGAAGCGUGUCUACCAGUUAUUAAGAAUAAUGAUGUUAAUGAAGAUUUCAAUAUUUCUGUGAAUAUCUCGCGAGGUGUUUAAUUUCAUUAUAAAAAAAAAAAGGAGAUAAUGAUAAAAUCGCUAAAGAUGAAGAUAAAAAGCAAUAGGUACUAACGCUGAGGAAUUUUCAAAAUCAGAUAUAUCAUGAUUUAUUCAACGCGUCUGUUGGCAUCGAGCGCGUUUGAAAGACGACCUUUAAAGCGUGUAAAUUUGAAAGGACCCUACACACAAUCAGAGCGUUUCGGAGCGGUUAGGGAACGGAGUAAAAUCGGCGCUGCUGUCGGUUGCCCGACCUGUUCCCGAAUACCUGCGAGCUCUAUGUCGUUAUUACGAACUUCAGACUCUCGUAAAAGACCCGUAAAGAAUCACUGAAAGUUCACGGUAUAGAUUUUAAAGUACUAUACAAAAGGGAAAAGUAUCGUGUACCGAUAAACGCGAGCAGAACGAAUGUGUCUUGCCGUUGUUCACGAAAGUUCGUGCAACAAGAGACACAGAACAGAGAUCAACGUUCAACUUCUCCGUACAGAAGUUCCUUCGAGACAAGAUUCCAUUCCGAGUGAGUCCAGGUUACUCGAAGAAAGAACAUGUCCCCUCCGUCUAACCUCGUGUGCCACGAAGACGAGGGUAAGAUAUAACGAGCAUACCAAGUACGGGAUAUCGUUCAGUGGUUUGUGUAGUGUCGACACGUUGAACGUGAGCAUGGUUAAGCUUCGAAAAAAGGUGGGUUUCAACAGCGCUGGUCCAGACAUACCAGCAAACGAGAUCCUCGAGCUAUUCGGACGAAUGUUCUUCGAGUUCUGUCAGGACUCUGGUUACGACAAGAUUCUUCAGGUGCUCGGAGCGACGCCCAGGGACUUUUUGCAGAACUUGGAUGCCCUUCACGAUCAUUUAGGCACUUUGUACCCGGGAAUGAGGGCACCCUCUUUUCGGUGCACCGAGAGACCGGAGGAUGGAGCGCUCAUAUUACAUUAUUACUCCGAUCGACCUGGCUUAGAGCACAUUGUGAUUGGCAUCGUUAAGACCGUGGCGAAAAAGCUUCACGGCACGGAUAUUGAAAUGAAAAUAUUGAAGACGAAAAACGAAUGCGAUCACGUUCAAUUUCUGAUAACCAAUACGUCUGGACCCGGGGUUGUAUCGAACCCCAUGAUUGCAGAAUUGGAAACUCUGUCCGUCGAGCCAAAAGUGAGCCCUAUGACGUUCUGUCGGGUUUUCCCUUUUCACUUGAUGUUCAAUCGAGACCUGACCAUAGUACAAACUGGAUGCACUAUAACUCGAGUGAUACCUCAAGUGUCCUCUGGUAAUUGCAAGUUAAGCGACAUUCUUCUCACCAUCAGACCACAUUUAGAGCUGACGUUCGAGAAUAUAUUGUCACACAUAAACACCGUGUACGUACUGCGGACGAAGAAGGGUGUGAUGAGAGUCAACGCUUCUGAAGAGUACUCGUAUCUCCGCUUAAAAGGACAAAUGUUAUACAUUCCUGAGUCGGACUUCGUGAUCUUCCUCUGUUACCCCAGCGUUAUGAAUCUAGACGAUUUAACCCGACGAGGAUUGUAUCUGAGCGACAUCCCUCUUCACGACGCCACCAGAGAUCUGGUGCUGAUGUCGGAGCAAUUCGAGGCUGAUUACAAAUUAACGAGAAACUUGGAGCUGCUUACCGAUAAAUUGCAGCAGACGUAUCGCGAGUUGGACGGCGAGAAGCAGAAAACCGACAGAUUGCUUUACUCCGUGCUGCCAAUUUCCGUGGCGAACGAGCUCCGACAUUCCAGGCCAGUUCCAGCUAAGAAGUACGAUUGCGUGACCCUGUUGUUCUCCGGAAUAGUCGGUUUCGGUGCGUACUGUGCAGCUCACACGGAUUCCAGCGGCGCGAUGAAAAUCGUCAACAUGCUGAAUCAGCUGUACACCGCCUUUGACGUGCUCACCGAUCCAAAAAAGAAUCCCAACGUGUACAAGGUCGAAACUGUUGGUGACAAAUACAUGGCCGUGAGCGGAUUACCAGAACCAUGUCGUUGCCAUGCACGAUGCAUCGCUCGCCUAGCGUUAGAUAUGAUGGAUCUUGCUGCAGAUGAAGUGCAGAUCGAUGGCGAGCCUGUGAAAAUCACCAUCGGGAUCCAUAGCGGCGAGGUUGUGACCGGUGUCAUCGGCCACCGUAUGCCACGUUAUUGUUUAUUCGGAAAUACGGUGAACCUUACCAGCCGAACGGAAACCACCGGAGAACCUGGGAAAAUAAACGUUUCCGAAGACGCGUACAGGUAUCUGUGCAUGCCUGAGAACCAGGAUCCACAAUUUCUGCUGGAAUACAGAGGACCCGUGACCAUGAAGGGCAAAUCAGAUCCCAUGAAUGUUUGGUUCCUAUCCAGAGAAAGAGAAUUAGCCGCAUAAAUUUAAAACAAUCUAAUUUUUACAGUUCUGUACUAUGGAAAAGGUAAUCCCAGAGCGACUCUCUAAAUUUGACUUCCAAUGAAUUCGUUUGAUAUUCAGGUAAAAAGCGUAAAAAAGACUUCCCCGGAGAAUAGUCUGCAAGUCAUAAAACGAAACGAAUAGUGCUCAUUAACUUUCAUUAUCCUUCCCGUUUUCCAUUCGUCCACUGUCACAAUAGGAAUAACCAUACCUAAUUUGGCACACGGUUAUGUGGAUUAACAUGUUGGCCAUCAAAACUCAAAAGCAGUAUGUUAUAUAAUAAUAAUUACAUAAGGAUACCUUUAUUUUAUUUUUUAGUGAAUUUUGUUUUUUUCGUUCAAUUUUCUAUAUGAAAUUAUUAAUCUUAUGCAGCUGCAUUUGCCCGAGGCAUGCAGUACGUU